rnacentral:tRNA from 1 species
GGUGCCAUAGCUCAGUUGGUAGAGCAAGGGACUGAAAAUCCUUGUGUCCCCGGUUCGAUUCCUGGUGGCACCA